rnacentral:rRNA from 1 species
AACGCGAAGAACCUUACCCGGGCUUGAACUACGGAUGGUAAGUCCCUGGAAACAGGGGCUGACCCGCAAGGGAGUCCGCAGAGGUGCUGCAUGGUUGUCGUCAGCUCGUGUCGUGAGAUGUUGGGUUAAGUCCCGCAACGAGCGCAACCCCUAUUCGAUGUUGCUAAUCCCGCAAGGGAUGCACUCUUCGAAAACUGCCUUCGAUAAGAAGGAGGAAGGUGGGGACGACGUCAAAUCCUCAUGGCCCUUAUGUCCGGGGCUACACACGUGUUACAAUGGCCGGUACAAUGGGAAGCAAUACCGCAAGGUGGAGCCAAACCCACAAAGCCGGCCCCAGUUCAGAUUGUGGGCUGCAACUCGCCCACAUGAAGGCGGAAUCGCUAGUAAUCGCUGAUCAGCAGGCAGCGGUGAAUACGUUCCCGGGCCUUGUA